AUAAAAUUGUGUUCUUUAGGGGGUGUUAUUCGUUAAUAAAUUUUAAUAGAAUUGAAAUCCAACACUAAUCCACUGUUAUUCAACUAAUGAUUCUAAAUCCAGCUUUAAAAUCUAGUGUUAUUGGAACUCAUAUUUGUAAAUCAUGCUUAAUAGAUUUUAAAGUUUGGUGUUAUUCAAUUAAGAUUUUAAAUAUUUCAUUAAAAUCU
rnacentral:sRNA from 1 species